rnacentral:rRNA from 1 species
CACGCCCUAAACGAUGUCAACUGGUUGUUGGGAAUUUACUUUCUCAGUAACGAAGCUAACGCGUGAAGUUGACCGCCUGGGGAGUACGGCCGCAAGGCUAAAACUCAAAGGAAUUGACGGGGACCCGCACAAGCGGUGGAUGAUGUGGUUUAAUUCGAUGCAACGCGAAAAACCUUACCCACCUUUGACAUGUACGGAACUUGCCAGAGAUGGCUUGGUGCCCGAAAGGGAGCCGUAACACAGGUGC